ACAGGUGGUGCAUGGUUGUCGUCAGCUCGUGUCGUGAGAUGUUGGGUUAAGUCCCGCAACGAGCGCAACCCCUACGUUUAGUUGCUAACGCGUGAAGGCGAGCACUCUAGACGAACUGCCGUUGAUAAACGGAGGAAGGUGGGAUGACGUCAAAUCAUCAUGCCCCUUAUGUUCUGGGCUACACACGUGCUACAAUGGCCGGUACAGACGGACGCAAAGCCGCGAGGUGGAGCAAAUCCUAAAAAGCCGGUCUCAGUUCGGAUUGCAGGCUGCAAUUCGCCUGCAUGAAGUCGGAAUCGCUAGUAAUCGCAGGUCAGCAUACUGCGGUGAAUACGUUCCCGGGCCUU
rnacentral:rRNA from 1 species